rnacentral:tRNA from 6 species
GCCCCUAUAGCUCAGUUGGUAGAGCUACGGACUUUUAAUCCGCAGGUCCCAGGUUCGAGUCCUGGUGGGGGCACCA